UAAAAAAACAAACUCUGGUUUCCGUGUCCAACGUUUGACUGUCUGUCUUAUUUGAAAAAAUUAUGAAAAAAAUUAAAAAGAUAAGUCACGCAUAAAGUAUUAAUUAUGUUUUAUCAUCUAACAACAAUGAAAAUACUAAUUAUAAAAAAAUUUCAUAUAAAACGGACAGUCAAACAUUGGCACGGGAACCCACGGUUUAUCUUUUU
rnacentral:pre_miRNA from 1 species